ACGUUAGCGGCGGACGGGUGAGUAACACGUGGGUAACCUACCUAUAAGACUGGGAUAACUUCGGGAAACCGGAGCUAAUACCGGAUAAUAUUUCGAACCGCAUGGUUCGAUAGUGAAAGGUGGUUUUGCUAUCACUUAUAGAUGGACCCGCGCCGUAUUAGCUAGUUGGUAAGGUAACGGCUUACCAAGGCGACGAUACGUAGCCGACCUGAGAGGGUGAUCGGCCACACUGGAGCUGAGACACGGUCCAGACUCCUACGGGAGGCAGCAGCA
rnacentral:rRNA from 1 species